ACAUCGCCAUCAAUGACCGGUCCGAAGGCUAUGUGGUAUCUUGCUGGUUGAAUGUCCUGGUCGACAAGUUCUCUAUAAGGCUUCUUCUGUAGACAUUCUACCAGUUCUACAGUGUCUGACAUGUUGCAACCAACUUUUGUAGCCAACAUCCUGGCGUAUUUUGCAGGCUGAAAACUAACUGCCCAGCUGGAGAGAGCUGUUCCACUUUGAGCUAUUGCUCUUUGAAAAAGUCCUGUGGGGAGAAAUAUUUGAAAACUACUGAAGUGACCUUGAAACAGCUACAGACUUGAAAGAUUCAAAGGAGUUCUUUGAAACAACAGAAAACUUCAACAGGAGAGAUACCUGAAUCUUAAUAGUACUUAAAUACAAGGGAUCUGACUUCUGUUGUACCUACAGUGUAACGGCAUGAUCUAAAGAAGCUGUCACUUCUAUUGACCUCAGUGGGAUCUGCACCAUGAUGUUGGGAGAAACUAAACACGCCUUUCACGACUGUCUGAAUAAAGACGACCUCAUCUACCGUGAGCAUGACUGACUGGUUUUCCAAAAAGGACACCCUUAGGUAGGAAAGAAAAGAGACAAAAACGAUGCACCAAGAAAAUGCUGUUCAAAAGUCUGCUAUGAAGUGUUUCUACAAGGCUCCAUAGGAAAAAGAAGAAAGUGACCCAAAAUUUAAACAUGCACAGAAGAGCUGAGGGAGAAGGAGGCUUGUACAGCCUAUAAAAAGUUUUCUUAAUAUUGAGCUGAACUCAACAGUUCAAAGGAACAAAGAGAAUAUACAGAA